GACAGCAGCAGCCGCGGUAAUACAGAGGGUGCGAGCGUUAAUCGGAUUUACUGGGCGUAAAGCGUGCGUAGGCGGCUUUUUAAGUCGGAUGUGAAAUCCCUGAGCUUAACUUAGGAAUUGCAUUCGAUACUGGGAAGCUAGAGUAUGGGAGAGGAUGGUAGAAUUCCAGGUGUAGCGGUGAAAUGCGUAGAGAUCUGGAGGAAUACCGAUGGCGAAGGCAGCCAUCUGGCCUAAUACUGACGCUGAGGUACGAAAGCAUGGGGAGCAAACAGGAUUAGAUACCCCGGUAGUCCCUGUCUCUUAUAC
rnacentral:rRNA from 1 species